rnacentral:rRNA from 1 species
UACGGAGGGUGCGAGCGUUGUUCGGAAUUACUGGGCGUAAAGGGCUCGUAGGCGGCCAACUAAGUCCGACGUGAAAUCCCCAGGCUCAACCUGGGAACUGCGUCGGAUACUGGAUGGCUUGAAUUCGGGAGAGGGAUGCAGAAUUCCAGGUGUAGCGGUGAAAUGCGUAGAUAUCUGGAGGAAUACCGGUGGCGAAGGCGGCAUCCUGGACCGACAUUGACGCUGAGGAGCGAAAGCUAGGGGAGCAAACGGG